rnacentral:rRNA from 1 species
GAUGAACGCUGGCGGCGUGCCUAAUACAUGCAAGUCGAGCGAAUGGAUUAAGAGCUUGCUCUUAUGAAGUUAGCGGCGGACGGGUGAGUAACACGUGGGUAACCUGCCCAUAAGACUGGGAUAACUCCGGGAAACCGGGGCUAAUACCGGAUAACAUUUUGAACCGCAUGGUUCGAAAUUGAAAGGCGGCUUCGGCUGUCACUUAUGGAUGGACCCGCGUCGCAUUAGCUAGUUGGUGAGGUAACGGCUAACCAAGGCAACGAUGCGUAGCCGACCUGAGAGGGUGAUCGGCCACACUGGGACUGAGACACGGCCCAGACUCCUACGGGAGGCAGCAGUAGGGAAUCUUCCGCAAUGGACGAAAGUCUGACGGAGCAACGCCGCGUGAGUGAUGAAGGCUUUCGGGUCGUAAAACUCUGUUGUUAGGGAAGAACAAGUGCUAGUUGAAUAAGCUGACACCUUGACGGUACCUAGCCAGAAAGCCACGGCUAACUACGUGCCAGCAGCCGCAGUAA